rnacentral:rRNA from 1 species
GCCUAAAGCGUCCGUAGCCGGCUCUGUAAGUUUUCGGUUAAAUCCAUAUGCUCAACAUAUGGGCCGCCGGGAAUACUGCAUAGCUAGGGAGUGGGAGAGGUAGACGGUACUCCGUAGGAAGGGGUAAAAUCCUUUGAUCUAUGGAUGACCACCUGUGGCGAAGGCGGUCUACCAGAACACGUUCGCCGGUGAGGGAUGAAAGCUGGGGGAGCAAACCGGAUUAGAUACCCGGGUAGUCCCAGCUGUAAACUAUGCAAACUCAGUGAUGCAUUGGCUUGUGGCCAGUGCAGUGCCGCAGAGAAGUCGUUAAGUUUGCCGCCUGGGAAGUACGUACGCAAGUAUGAAACUUAAAGGAAUUGGCGGGGGAGUACCACAAGGGGUGAAGCCUGCGGUUCAAUUGGAGUCAACGCCAGAAAUCUUACCCGGAGAGACAGCAGGAUGAAGGUCAAGUUGAAGCCUUUACCAGACAAGCUGAGAAGUGGUGCAUGGCCGUCGCCAGCUCGUGCCGUGAGAUGUCCUGUUAAGUCAGGUAACGAGCGAGAUCCUUGCCUCUAGUUGCCACCAUUACUCUCAGGAGUAGUGGGGCGAAUUAGCGGGACUGCCGUAGUUAAUACGGAGGAAGGAGAGGGCCACGGCAGGUCAGUAUGCCCCGAA